UGACUCUACAAGGUGUCCAAAGCGUUCCACAGGGAUGCUGGCCCAUGUUGACUCUACAAGGUGUCCAAAGCGUUCCACAGGGAUGCUGGCCCAUGUUGACUCUACAAGGUGUCCAAAGCGUUCCACAGGGAUGCUGGCCCAUGUUGACUCUACAAGGUGUCCAAAGCGUUCCACAGGGAUGCUGGCCCAUGUUGACUCUACAAGGUGUCCAAAGCGUUCCACAGGGAUGCUGGCCCAUGUUGACUCUACAAGGUGUCCAAAGCGUUCCACAGGGAUGCUGGCCCAUGUUGACUCUACAAGGUGUCCAAAGCGUUCCACAGGGAUGAUGGCCCAUGUUGACUCUACAAGGUGUCCAAAGCGUUCCACAGGGAUGAUGGCCCAUGUUGACUCUACAAGGUGUCCAAAGCGUUCCACAGGGAUGCUGGCCCGUGUUGACUCUACAAGGUGUCCAAAGCGUUCCACAGGGAUGAUGGCCCAUGUUGACUCUAAUGCUUCCCACAGUUGUGUCAAAUCGGCCGGAUGUCUUUGGGUGGUGGUCCAUUCUUGAUACACAGAGUAAACUGUUGAGCAUGAAAAACCCAGCAGCGUUGC